GAAGAUCCCGCCGGCGUUCCUCGGCGGCGCCUUUACUAGGGCGAGUUACUCUUCUUACCGGUGGGUCCAUCUGCCCCUCAGAAGCUACCGCCGUAGCAUCUUCGCAGAGAGAGAGAGAGAGAGGACGAGUUUCAGAGCGCUUCUCCGUCGUCCGUUCGGCCAUGGGCUAACGGAGUCACUACAGCCAGUCGCUCUCUUUCUCUCUCGCUCUCUCUGUCUUAACUGUGUGCGCUCUGAAACUUAGCUGGCGCUGGCAAGAAGAACAAAAACCGUCGAGGGGAGUGCAGUACAAUGAAG
rnacentral:lncRNA from 1 species